rnacentral:rRNA from 1 species
GACGAAGGGGGCUAGCGUUGUUCGGAAUUACUGGGCGUAAAGCGCGUGUAGGCGGUUGUUCAAGUCGGGUGUGAAAGCCUUGAGCUCAACUCAAGAAAUGCACUCGGUACUGGAUGACUAGAGGACCGGAGAGGAUAGUGGAAUUCCCAGUGUAGUGGUGAAAUACGUAGAGAUUGGGAAGAACACCAGUGGCGAAGGCGGCUACCUGGCCUGUUCUUGACGCUGAGGCGCGAAAGCUAGGGGAGCAAACGGG